rnacentral:rRNA from 1 species
UACGGGGGGGGCAAGCGUUGUUCGGAAUUACUGGGCGUAAAGGACUCGUAGGCGGCCAACUAAGUCAGACGUGAAAUCCCCAGGCUCAACCUGGGAACUGCGUCUGAUACUGGAUGGCUUGAAUCCGGGAGAGGGAUGUGGAAUUCCAGGUGUAGCGGUGAAAUGCGUAGAUAUCUGGAGGAACACCGGUGGCGAAGGCGACAUCCUGGACCGGUAUUGACGCUGAGGCGCGAAAGCCAGGGGAGCAAACGGG